CCUGGUGGCUCAGAGGGUAAAGCGUCUGCCUGUAAUGCAGGAGACCCAGGUUCGAUUGCUGGGUCAGGA
rnacentral:tRNA from 1 species